CCUAGUCGGAUUCGUUAACCACUGAGCCACGACGGGAACUCCAGGAGUGCGUCCUUCGUUGCCAUAGAGACAAUCGAACUACUUCUCCGGUCGGAACUUUUUUUUAAAAAAAAUACAGGGCUGAUCUUUUUUUUUUUUUAAAUACAGGGCGGAUCAUAUCUGAUGCGGCCGUAUUACUUCUCCGCCUAGCCGGCUGAAAGUCAUGUAGCCUGCACCAUGUUAGCCUCGCGAAGCUUGAGACUGAAAAUUUACCUAUUUUCUGCAACAGCAGAAUUGCGAGGAAAUGAGAGCAUCUCAGCGGCUUCUCCCCUUUCCGUCCACUCCUGGCUUCUGGCUCCCAAACCCGCCCCCUGGCCUCCUGUACGUCAGACGGAGCAGGACCAGUCGUAGCAGUUCACGGAAGUACGGCGAUUAGGCUUCUGGUCGGUCUGGGAAAAAUCAGGGCCGCUCCCUCAGCAUAUGGAGGUUCCCAG